UUGCAUAUCCCAAAAUCGGAGGAAAAGAAACCAACAGGGAUUGCCCUAGUAACGGCGAGUGAAGCGGCAACAGCUCAAAUUUGAAAGCUGGCUCCGGCCCGCAUUGUAAUUUGCAGAGGAUGCUUCUGGUGAGGUGCCUUCCGAGUUCCCUGGAACGGGACGCCAUAGAGGGUGAGAGCCCCGUAUGGAUGGACACCAAGCCUGUGUGAAGCUCCUUCAACGAGUCGAGUAGUUUGGGAAUGCUGCUCUAAAUGGGAGGUAAAUCUCUUCUAAAGCUAAAUACCGGCCAGAGACCGAUAGCGCACAAGUAGAGUGAUCGAAAGAUGAAAAGCACCUUGAAAAGGGGGUUAAACAGUACGUGAAAUUGUUGAAAGGGAAGCGCUUGUGACCAGACUUGCGCCGGGCAGCUCAUCAGGGGUUCUCCCCUGUGCACUCUGCCCGGCUCAGGCCAGCAUCGGUUCUCGUGGGAGGAUAAGAACGGUAGGAACGUGGCCCCCUUCCGGGGGGGUGUUAUAGCCUACCGUACGAUACUCCCGUGGGGACCGAGGUUCGCGCUCCGCAAGGAUGCUGGCGUAAUGGUCAUCAGCGACCCGUCUGACACCACACGAGAAACAA
rnacentral:misc_RNA from 1 species